GAUGAACGCUGGCGGCGUGCCUAAUACAUGCAAGUCGAGCGAACAGACGAGGAGCUUGCUCCUCUGACGUUAGCGGCGGACGGGUGAGUCACACGUGGAACACCUCCCUAUCAGACUGGGAUCACUUCGGGACACCGGCGCAAAUACCGGAUAAUCUCCUGCACCGCAUGGUUCAAUGGUGAAAGACGGCUUUGCUGUCACUUAUCGAUGGAUCUCGGCGGGAUUAGCUAGUUGGUAGGGUAACGGGCUUUCAAGGCAAGGAGGCGUAGCCGAACGAACAGGGGGAUAGGCCACACGGGAGCGUGGACGCGGUCCAGACUCCUGCGGGAGGGAGCAGUAGGGAAUCGUCCGCAAUGGGCGAAAGCCUGACGGAGCAGCGCCGCGUGAGUUGUGAAGGUCUUCGGAGCGUAAUACUCUGUUAUGAGGGAAGAACAAAUGUGUAAUUAACUAUGCACGUCUUGACGGUACCUAAUCAGGAAGCCACGGCUAACUACGUG
rnacentral:rRNA from 1 species